AAUAGAUACCCAGGUAGUCCACGCCGUAAACGAUGGGUGCUAGGUGUGGGAGGUGUCGACUCCUUCCGUGCCGUAGCUAACGCAUUAAGCACCCCGCCUGGGGAGUACGGCCGCAAGGCUAAAACUCAAAGGAAUUGACGGGGCCCCGCACAAGCAGCGGAGCAUGUGGUUUAAUUCGAUGCAACGCGAAGAACCUUACCAGGGCUUGACAUGGUCGGGAAAACCGUAGAAAUACGGUCCUUCUUCGGGACUCGAUCACAGGUGGUGCAUGGCUGUCGUCAGCCCGUGUCGUGAGAUGUUGGGUUAAGUCCCGCAACGAGCGCAACCCCUGUCCCAUGUUGCCAGCGAGUAAUGUCGGGGACUCAUGGGAGACUGCCGGUGACAAAUCGGAGGAAGGUGGGGAUGAUGUCAAGUCAUCAUGCCCCUUAUGUCCUGGGCUACACACGUGCUACAUUGGCCGGUACAAAGGGCUGCAAACCUGCGAGGGUGAGCGAAUCCCAAAAAGCCGGUCCGGUUCGGAUUGAAGGCUGAAACUCGCCUUC
rnacentral:rRNA from 1 species